AUUGAACGCUGGCGGCAGGCCUAACACAUGCAAGUCGAACGGUAACAGGAAACAGCUUGCUGUUUCGCUGACGAGUGGCGGACGGGUGAGUAAUGUCUGGCAAACUGCCUGAUGUAGGGGGAUAACUACUGGAAACGGUACCUAAUCCCGCAUAACGUCGCAAGCCCAAAGAGGGGGACCCUCGGGCCUCUUGCCAUCGGAUGUGCCCAGAUGGGCUUUGAGUGUUGGUGGGGUAACGGCCCACCAAGUCGACGAUCCCUAGCUGGUCUGAGAGGUUGACCAGACACACUGGAACUGAGACACGGUCCAGACUCCUACGGGAGGCAGAAGUGGGGAAUAUUGCACGAGGGGCGGAAGCCUGAUGCAGCCAUGCCGCGUGUAUGAAGAAGGCCUUAGGGUUGUAAAGUACUUUCAGCGGGAAGGAAGGGAGUAAAGUUAAUACCUUUGCUGAUUGACGUUAACCGAAGAAGAAGCACCGGCUAACUACGUG
rnacentral:rRNA from 1 species